rnacentral:lncRNA from 1 species
UAGAAAGGGACCAUGCCCCUCCCCUACUUCCGGGCUCAGGAUUGGUCCUUAUAUAGGGGUGGCCUUGGACUCUGACAAGAUUCGAGUUUUAGCUGGGUAAUCAAUUUCAGGCUAGGGAAACUCCGGUGUUUUUUCUUUAAAUAAAGUUUUUGAGAAAUCGAAGUGAGAUAGUUUUCUUUCAGCUCUACAUUAUCCUGGUCUCAACAUUGUGAUGUCAUUAGUCCUCUUUGAGGACAAAAGAAGAGCACAACCAUGGGAAAAUCCUUUUAGUCUCUUCACCUCCAGAGUCAGAAAAUUGAAGCCCUGAGAGACAGAUGCCAGUAAAUACAAAAUCCAUUGUAAUGCCAGAGCAAUAAGGAAGGAAGAUGCCAGCAGCAAUGCUACUGGAGGAGAGACGAGAUUCUAUCUCUUCUUGUAGAAAUCAUGGCUUCUAGGGGGAAAAACAAAGCAAGUACGUGAUCAGUUUCCUCCAUCAUCAACU